rnacentral:rRNA from 1 species
GACGAACGCUGGCGGCGUGCUUAACACAUGCAAGUCGAACGGAAAGGCCCUGCUUUUGUGGGGUGCUCGAGUGGCGAACGGGUGAGUAACACGUGAGUAACCUGCCCUUGACUUUGGGAUAACUUCAGGAAACUGGGGCUAAUACCGGAUAUGAGCUCCUGCUGCAUGGUGGGGGUUGGAAAGUUUCGGCGGUUGGGGAUGGACUCGCGGCUUAUCAGCUUGUUGGUGGGGUAGUGGCUUACCAAGGCUUUGACGGGUAGCCGGCCUGAGAGGGUGACCGGCCACAUGGGGACUGAGAGACGGCCCAGACUCCUACGGGAGGCAGCAGUGGGGAAUAUUGCACAAUGGGCGGAAGCCUGAUGCAGCAACGCCGCGUGCGGGAUGACGGCCUUCGGGUUGUAAACCGCGUUCGCCUGUGACGAAGCGUGAGUGACGGUAAUGGGUAAAGAAGCACCGGCUAACUACGUG